AAUUACUGAGUACUGAGUUAGAAGGAGAAAAAAUGUCUUCGAGUCUACCUCUCCUCAAUAAAGAGGUCUGAGUAGAGGCAACUUACAAAGGCCUCAGCCAAAGGCCACAAAUAAAGAGGCCUCCACCUGAGGACACUGGGGUCAAGAACACAGCUGUAUAAGUUUAAGAGCUUGGCCCACCAGUUGCAGUUGCCUGAAACUCCCUUCAGAAACUGUAAUUCAUUCUGUCCGCACCAAGUCAGCUGUGACAAAGCCAGCUCUCCCUGAGGCCUGCCAGAGUGUUAAAGAUCGAAAUUUCUCUAACUGGUGUCACUUGUAGCAGGGGCCAAUGUUAACUGUGAAGAUGGCUGGUAUUAUUUAUAACAAGGAGAGCCUGGCAGCAGACUUUGACCUUUCAAAUAUCGUUCCAUUUUCUGCAGGCCUUAAUUAUUUCUGAUAAGGGCAAUGGUGAAGGCAUGCAUAUCCCAACUGACCUCUUGGAUUACAUCUUGAUAAAAAGUAACAGUGUUUUACCACCACACUUCAUGCCACAGAAGGAAAGGCAUACACGGCAGUGACCUCCAAGGAAGAUAAGCACCACUGCACUUCAUAUACUGACUCCUCUUCGUGCCUACAGAUAAAUCUCUGAAAAGGUGAAGUAGGAAGGAAAUAAGAAAGGAAGAAAAAGCCAGGAGAGACUCAUUUUUCUUAUCAAUUUCAUUAACAAAAUACAAAGAUUCAGAAUCUGAAGUCAAUAGACAGUAAAUCACUUCCUAGCUAACUUCACAUUCACAGAAGCCCUAUGAAAGAUUAACAUAGAACAAUUCCUUUUACUGCAAUACACAGGCUAGAGAUAAGGACAAGAUUUCUCCUAACCCCUUGCUGAAAAAUUAAUGAGCACUCGGGUCAUAAGUCCAUUUUUUUUCCCCAAGCCAAAUCAGGAAGUUAUUUUUUUUCACACUAGGAGUACAAAGUCAAACUGGAACCAAAUAUUUAAACUACAGCUAGAUGAUUUCAAUUCUGUAAGUGUUCCAAUAAUUUUUUUCUUCCUUUCUGAGAAAAAGAAAACAAACUAAUAAUGUCCUAUUCAUUUAAUGUUUCAAGAGAACUAUUGAAUAAUAGACUAACUAAAGCUUAUUUUAACUACCAAUUCUAACUAAAGGUUAACAUUUUUGGUAUUUAUGUUGAAAUAUGAUGGUUGUUACAGGAAGAUCAGUGAUGCUUAGCAUUGGAGAGUUAACAUGCCUAGAUUUCUUAGGAAACUAAAAAAAAUAAAUGAGGUCAAGUAACAUUUAAAUAACUUUAAGGAAAUUUAAAAAUAAUCUGGUAAGGUUGUCUCCAUAGCAAUUUCAGGGAAGUGGAGAGAUUCGUUCUUUUCAAAUGGUUCAAAGGUGAAAAAUAUAUAUUUCCAAAUCUAAACUUUGAUCUGUAUAUUUCUCAGAAACCAUGUGAUAUUCUAAUUAUACACUAAACUUGUAUUAUAUUAUAAUCUUAUUUACUUUUUCUGUAAUAUCCAUUCCUUAUUAUCUCUUCCUUGAAAUACCUGUACUUUAGAUAUUUUAAAUACU
ensembl:lncRNA